AGUCGAACGAGAUUAAGGGGCUUGCUCCUUAUGAAAGUGGCGCACGGGUGCGUAACGCGUAUGCAACCUACCUUAAUCAGGGGGAUAGCCCGAAGAAAUUCGGAUUAAGACCGCAUAAAAACACAGGAUAGCAUUAUCCAAUGUUCAAAUAUUUAUAGGAUUAAGAUGGGCAUGCGUGUCAUUAGCUAGUUGGCGGGGUAACGGCCCACCAAGGCGACGAUGACUAGGGGAUCUGAGAGGAUGACCCCCCACACUGGUACUGAGACACGGACCAGACUCCUACGGGAGGCAGCAGUAAGGAAUAUUGGUCAAUGGAGGGAACUCUGAACCAGCCAUGCCGCGUGCAGGAAGACAGCCCUCUGGGUCGUAAACUGCUUUUAUUCGGGAAUAAACCUUAUUACGUGUAAUAAGCUGAAUGUACCGAAGGAAUAAGGAUCGGCUAACUCCGUGCCAGCAGCCGCGGUAAUACGGAGGAUCCAAGCGUUAUCCGGAUUUAUUGGGUUUAAAGGGUGCGUAGGCGGCUUAUUAAGUCAGGGGUGAAAGACGGURGCUYAACYAUCGCAGUGCCYUUGAUACUGAUGRGCUUGAAURCASYWGAGGUAGGCGGAAUGUGACAAGUAGCGGUGAAAUGCAUAGAUAUGUCACAGAACACCGAUUGCGAAGGCAGCUUACUAWRGUGUKAUUGACGCUGAGGCACGAAAGCGUGGGGAUCAAACAGGAUUAGAUACCCUGGUAGUCCACGCCCUAAACGAUGAAUACUCGMUGUURGCGAUAUACRGUYAGCGKCUAAGCGAAAGCGUUAAGUAUUCCACCUGGGGA
rnacentral:rRNA from 1 species